CCUACGGGGGGCAGCAGUAGGGAAUCUUUCACAAUGGGCGAAAGCCUGAUGGAGCAACGCCGCGUGCAGGAUGAAGGCCUUCGGGUUGUAAACUGCUUUUAUAAGCGAGAAAUAUGAUGGUAACUUAUGAAUAAGGAUCGGCUAACUACGUGCCAGCAGCCGGGGUCAUACGUAGGAUCCGAGCAUUAUCCGGAGUGACUGGGUGUAAAGAGUUGCGUAGGUGGCAUAAUAAGUAGCUAGUGAAAUCUGGUGGCUCAACCAUUCAGACUAUUAGCUAAACUGUUAAGCUCGAGACCGUGAGGGGUAACUGGAAUUUCUAGUGUAGGAGUGAAAUCCGUAGAUAUUAGAAGGAACACCAGUAGCGUAGGCAGGUUGCUGGGACGGUUCUGACACUAAGGCACGAAAGCGUAGGGAGCAAACGGGAUUAGAUACCCUAGUAGUC
rnacentral:rRNA from 1 species